CGCCAGCUUUGAAGUACAUUUUAUAAACCCAAUACAUGCCAGACCUGAAGUACUUUUUUAACCCCACACAUGCCAGAUCUGUAACAAAGUACUUUUUUUUUUUACACCAGAUCUCUAAUGAAGUAUAUUUUAUUAACCCCACACACGCCAGAUCUGAAGUACAUUUUAUUAACCCCACAUACGCCAGAUCUGAAGUGCAUUUUAUUAACCCCACAUACGUCAGAUCUGAAGUACAUGUUAUUAACCCCACACACGACAGAUCUUUAACGAAGUACAUUUUAAUAACCCCACACACAUCAGAUCUCAAGUACAUUAUAUUAAUCCCACCCAUGACAGAUCUUUUCAAAGUACAUUUUAUUAACCCCACACAUGCCAAAUCUGAAGUACAUUUUAUUAACCCCACACACGCCAGAUCUGAAGUACCGGUACAUUUUAUUAACCCAACAUAUGCCAGAUCUUAAGUACAUUUUAUUAACCCCACACAUGACAGAUCUUUACAAAGGACAUUUAGUUACAUAGUUACAUAGCUGAAAAGAGACUUGCG